rnacentral:rRNA from 1 species
AGAGAAUAGAUACCCGGGUAGUCCCAGCCGUAAACGAUGCUCGCUAGGUGUCAGGCAUGGCGCGACCGUGUCUGGUGCCGCAGGGAAGCCGUGAAGCGAGCCACCCGGGGAAGUACGGCCGCAAGGCUGAAACUUAAAGGAAUUGGCGGGGGAGCACAACAACGGGUGGAGCCUGCGGUUUAAUUGGACUCAACGCCGGACAACUCACCGGGGGCGACAGCAAUAUGUAGGCCAAGCUGAAGACUUUGCCUGAAUCGCUGAGAGGAGGUGCAUGGCCGUCGCCAGUUCGUACUGUGAAGCAUCCUGUUAAGUCAGGCAACGAGCGAGACCCGUGCCCACUGUUACCAGCAUGUCCUUUGGGAUGAUGGGUACUCUGUGGGGACCGCCGGUGUCAAAUCGGAGGAAGGUGCGGGCCACGGUAGGUCAGUAUGCCCCGGAAUCUCCCGGGCUACACGCGGGCUACAAUGAAUGGGACAAUGGGUCCCUUCCCUGAAAAGGGUUGGUAAUCUCACAAACCCAUCCUUAGUUCGGAUUGAGGGCUGUAACU